CAAUAGCGUAUAUUAAAGUUGUUGCAGUUAAAAAGCUCGUAGUUGGAUUUGUGGCGUACGGUGGGUUCCGGGCACUUGUUGUCUGAGUAACUUGCUGUUGCCAUCCUUGGGUGGAACCUGUGUGGCAUUAGGUUGUCGUGCAGGGGAUGCCCAUCAUUUACUGUGAAAAAAUUAGAGUGUUCAAAGCAGGCUUAUGCCGUUGAAUAUAUUAGCAUGGAAUAAUGAGAUAGGACUUUUUUGCUAUUUUGUUGGUUUGCGCAAAGAGGUAAUGAUUAAUAGGGACAGUUGGGGGUAUUCGUAUUCCAUUGUCAGAGGUGAAAUUCUUGGAUUUUUGGAAGACGAAUUACUGCGAAAGCAUUUACCAAGGAUGUUUUCAUUAA
rnacentral:rRNA from 1 species